CCUGCAGGAAAGGACAUCAACCGAGACUCCGCAAGUAGUGGCGAGCGAACGCGGACCAGGCCAGUGGCAAUGAGGAAUAAAGUGGAACGAUCUGGAAAGGUCGGCCGUAGAGGGUGAUAGCCCCUUACACGUAGAACACUCAUUGUCCUUGAGUAAGGCGGGACACGUGAAAUCCUGUCUGAACAUGGGGAGACCACUCUCCAAGCCUAAGUACUCGUGCAUGACCGAUAGCGAACAAGUACCGUGAGGGAAAGGUGAAAAGCACCCCGACAAGGGGAGUGAAAUAGAACCUGAAACCGGAUGCCUACAAACAGUUGGAGCCCGCAAGGGUGACAGCGUACCUUUUGUAUAAUGGGUCAACGACUUAGUGUGACGAGCAAGCUUAAGCCGAUAGGUGAAGGCGCAGCGAAAGCGAGUCUGAACAGGGCGUUCAGUUCGUCGCAUUAGACCCGAAACCGAGUGAUCUAGCCAUGAGCAGGUUGAAGGUUGGGUAACACCAACUGGAGGACCGAACCCGCAUCUGUUGCAAUAGAUUGGGAUGACUUGUGGCUAGGGGUGAAAGGCCAAUCAAACUCGGAAAUAGCUGGUUCUCCGCGAAAUCUAUUUAGGUAGAGCGUCGACCGAAUACCCUCGGGGGUAGAGCACUGGAUGGGCUAUGGGGACUCACCGUCUUACUGAUCCUAACCAAACUCCGAAUACCGAGGAGUACUAGUCGGCAGACACACGGCGGGUGCUAACGUCCGUCGUGAAAAGGGCAACAACCCUGACCUCCAGCUAAGGUCCCCAAGUCAUGGCUAAGUGGGAAAGGAUGUGAGGAUCCCAAAACAACCAGGAUGUUGGCUUAGAAGCAGCCAUCAUUUAAAGAAAGCGUAACAGCUCACUGGUCUAAAUAAGGGUCUUUGCGCCGAAAAUGUAACGGGGCUAAAGCCAUGCACCGAAGCUGAGGAUGUGCCUUAUGGCACGUGGUAGCGGAGCGUUCCGUAAGCCUGCGAAGGGAUACCCGUGAGGGGUCCUGGAGGUAUCGGAAGUGCGAAUGUUGACAUGAGUAACGAUAAAGAGGGUGAGAGACCCUCUCGCCGAAAGACCAAGGGUUCCUGCUUAAAGUUAAUCUGAGCAGGGUUAGCCGGCCCCUAAGACGAGGCGGACACGCGUAGUCGAUGGGAACCACGUUAAUAUUCGUGGGCCUGGUGGUAGUGACGGAUCGCUUAACUUGUCUGGACUUAUUGGAUUGUCCAGGCGGGGACGCGGUUCCAGGAAAUAGCUCCACCAUUAUAGACCGUACCCGAAACCGACACAGGUGGUCAGGUAGAGUAUACCAAGGCGCUUGAGAGAACUAUGCUGAAGGAACUCGGCAAAUUGCACGCGUAACUUCGGAAGAAGCGUGACCCCAAUGGACGCAAGUCUUUUGGGGUGGCACAGACCAGGGGGUAGCGACUGUUUAUCAAAAACACAGGGCUCUGCGAAGUCGCAAGACGACGUAUAGGGUCUGACGCCUGCCCGGUGCUGGAAGGUUAAGAGGAGGGGUGCAAGCUCUGAAUCGAAGCCCCAGUAAACGGCGGCCGUAACUAUAACGGUCCUAAGGUAGCGAAAUUCCUUGUCGGGUAAGUUCCGACCUGCACGAAUGGCGUAACGACUUCCCCGCUGUCUCCAGCAUAGACUCAGUGAAAUUGAAUUCCCCGUGAAGAUGCGGGGUUCCUGCGGUCAGACGGAAAGACCCCGUGCACCUUUACUAUAGCUUUACACUGGCAUUCGUGUCGGCAUGUGUAGGAUAGGUGGUAGGCUUUGAAGCAGGGACGCCAGUUCUUGUGGAGCCAUCCUUGAAAUACCACCCUUAUCGUCAUGGAUGUCUAACCGCGGUCCGUCAUCCGGAUCCGGGACAGUGUAU
rnacentral:rRNA from 1 species